UGUUGUGAGUUUCAGAUUCAACUUCAACACAAUCUGUAUCUGUGUUGUGAGUUUCAGAUUCAAAACACAAUCUGUAGUAUAAAGGGUGUUGUGAGUUUCAGAUUCAACUUCAACACAAUCUGUAGUAUAAAGGGUGUUGUGAGUUUCAGAUUCAACUUCAACACAAUCUGUAGUAUAAAGGGUGUUGUGAGUUUCAGAUUCAACUUCAACUCUGUAGUAUAAACACAAUCUGUAGUAUAAAGGGUGUUGUGAGUUUCAGAUUCAACUUCAACACAAUCUGUAGUAUAAAGGGUGUUGUGAGUUUCAGAUUCAACUUCAACACAAUCUGUAGUAUAAAGGGUGUUGUGAGUUUCAGAUUCAACUUCAACACAAUCUGUAGUAUAAAGGGUGUUGUGAGUUUCAGAUUCAACUUCAACACAAUCUGUAGUAUAAAGGGUGUUGUGAGUUUCAGAUUCAACUUCAACACAAUCUGUAGUAUAAAGGGUGUUGUGAGUUUCAGAUUCAACUUCAACACAAUCUGUAGUCCAAAGGGUGUUGUGAGUUUCAGAUUCAACUUCAACACAAUCUGUAGUCCAAAGGGUG